CCAGGGUGCUCCCUUACGGGAGAGCCCCUGGAGCGGCGGACGGGUGAGUAACACGUAGGCAACCUGCCUGUAAGAUCGGGAUAACUACCGGAAACGGUAGCUAAGACCGGAUAGCUGGUCUCUCCGCAUGGAGAGAUCAUGAAACACGGGGCAACCUGUGGCUUACAGAUGGGCCUGCGGCGCAUUAGCUAGUUGGUGGGGUAACGGCCCACCAAGGCGACGAUGCGUAGCCGACCUGAGAGGGUGAUCGGCCACACUGGGACUGAGACACGGCCCAGACUCCUACGGGAGGCAGCAGUAGGGAAUCUUCCGCAAUGGGCGCAAGCCUGACGGAGCAACGCCGCGUGAGUGAUGAAGGUUUUCGGAUCGUAAAGCUCUGUUGCCAAGGAAGAACGCCUCGGAGAGUAACUGCUCUGAGGGUGACGGUACUUGAGAAGAAAGCCCCGGCUAACUACGUGCCAGCAGCCGCGGUAAUACGUAGGGGGCAAGCGUUGUCCGGAAUUAUUGGGCGUAAAGCGCGCGCAGGCGGUCUUUUAAGUUUGGUGUUUAAGCCCGGGGCUCAACCCCGGUUCGCACUGAAAACUGGGAGACUUGAGUGCAGGAGAGGAAAGCGGAAUUCCACGUGUAGCGGUGAAAUGCGUAGAGAUGUGGAGGAACACCAGUGGCGAAGGCGGCUUUCUGGACUGUA
rnacentral:rRNA from 1 species